UUAUCACUCAUGUACCAUGUUCCCAUGAAUUUCAGGAGCUUUCUAAGGGGGGGGGUGUGUGUGUCAAGCUCUUCCUAGAAUAGAACCAUUACCUUUCAAAAAAGAAAGUUGAAUUUGGGCAGCUCAGCAGUGCCUGUUGGAACUUGCAAACUCGGUUGGCACCGGGCAAGGAGAUGCCCUGAGGAGAGGGCAUUUAGCAAAGUCAGGCCAGAGGUCCAGGGUCCUGCCCUGCCUCCUUCCUGUCAUGGGUGCUAGCAGCUCCAGGAGCUGAUGACACUGCAUUCAGGCAGCAUGACCUUGCCUAGCUCUCCACCUUCAGUUCAGGCAGAGCAGGCUCAAUGGAGUUCACUGAAUCAGCCCUCAGCCAUUGCAACAAAGAACACCAUGCGGUCUCCAAAAACCUUUCAGCUUCACCUUGUGCUUCUCCUACUCCUGGACUGGGGGCUCUUGUGGGGGGGGCAACUUGGGCAAAUUUCAACCCCCAAGUGCCAGGCAGAGCACACUUUGACCCCUUACUCAGCUAACCCUCCAGCCCCAAUCUUGUAUUAACUGUCUUCUGUCCUCCUCAGUGAGUUUUGUUUGGCUUCAUCCCCUGAGGCAGUCAAGAAAGCUGCCCAAUAAAUAUCAGUAUAAAAGCUUAGAACCUAGAAGUGGCUAAAACUGCUCAGCGUGAGUGAGAGUAGACUGCAAGCUCCCUCUUACCCAGUUUGGAGAAUGAGUUGGACAUGAUGGGGUGGGGUUGGGGGAGAAUGGUUAGCCCCAAACUUGUAAAAAAAAAAAAAA
rnacentral:lncRNA from 1 species